CGUCGACUAUUAUGACAAUGGGGCCAAGCCUCACUCUUUCAAAGUUGAGGACUAGGUACUGAAGGAAAUGCUAUUAUAAGAAGGCAUACACAUUACAAAUGUUUUGAUUCUCAACCGCUUGAGAUCUUUUGUCACACAAGCUAGUCGACAAAUAUUUAAAGAAGAGGGAAUUCAGACAACUUCUUCUGAGUCUUUUGCGUUCUUAGCACCGGAACACUUGGUCUAUGCUGACCUACCCUUAUACUCCAACUCAGAGCUUCAACAUGUGUACUUUGACACAAUGUAUGUGAUACGAAGUGUUACAACCAACAUGGUUCACAUAUCAAAAGCAUGGAUCCCUUCAUGCAUAGCAAAACAUUCAUAAGCAUC
rnacentral:lncRNA from 1 species